rnacentral:tRNA from 1 species
GCCUCUGUAGCUCAGUUGGUUAGAGCGCUGCACCGGAAUCGCAGGGCCGUAGGUUCAAUUCCUACCAGGGGAC